rnacentral:rRNA from 1 species
AGAGUUUGAUCCUGGCUCAGGAUGAACGCUGGCGGCGUGCCUAAUACAUGCAAGUCGAACGCACUGUGGUUCAACUGAUUUGAAGAGCUUGCUCUGAUAUGACGAUGAACAUUGCAGUGAGUGGCGAACGGGUGAGUAACACGUGGGAAACCUACCUCUUAGCGGGGGAUAACAUCUGGAGACAGAUGCUAAUACCGCAUAACACUAGCAACCGCAUGGUUGCUACUUGAAAGAUGGUUCUGCUAUCACUAAGAGAUGGUCCCGCGGCGCAUUAGUUAGUUGGUGAGGUAAUGGCUCACCAAGACGAUGAUGCGUAGCCGAGUUGAGAGACUGAUCGGCCACAAUGGGACUGAGACACGGCCCAUACUCCUACGGGAGGCAGCAGUAGGGAAUCUUCCACAAUGGACGAAAGUCUGAUGGAGCAACGCCGCGUGUGUGAUGAAGGGUUUCGGCUCGUAAAACACUGUUGUAAGAGAAGAAUAGCAUCAAGAGUAACUGCUUGGUGUGCGACGGUAUCUUACCAGAAAGGAACGGCUAAAUACGUGCCAGCAGCCGCGGUAAUACGUAUGUUCCAAGCGUUAUCCGGAUUUAUUGGGCGUAAAGCGAGCGCAGACGGUUUUUUAAGUCCGAAGUGAAAGCCCACAGCUUAACUGUGGAAGUGCUUUGGAAACUGGAUGACUUGAGUGCAGUAGAGGAGGGUGGAAUUCCAUGUGUAGCGGUGAAAUGCGUAGAUAUAUGGAGGAACACCAGUGGCGAAGCGGCUCUCUGGGACUGUAACUGACGUGAGGCUCGAAAGUGUGGGGUAGCAAACAGGAUUAGAUACCCUGGUAGUCCACACCGUAAACGA